rnacentral:rRNA from 1 species
UACGUAGGGGGCAAGCGUUGUCCGGAAUCAUUGGGCGUAAAGAGCGUGUAGGCGGCUUGGCAAGUCUGACGUGAAAGCCCGCGGCUCAACCGCGGAUUGUCGUUGGAAACUGCCUCGCUAGAGUCCGGAAGAGGAGAAUGGAAUUCCCGGUGUAGCGGUGAAAUGCGCAGAUAUCGGGAAGAACACCCGUGGCGAAGGCGGUUCUCUGGGACGGUACUGACGCUGAGACGCGAAAGCGUGGGGAGCGAAC